AACAAACGCUGGCGGCGUGCCUAACACAUGCAAGUCGUACGAGAAAGGGUCCUUCGGGGCCUGAGUAAAGUGGCGCACGGGUGAGUAACGCGUGGAUAAUCUGCCCUUCAGUUGGGAAUAACUCAUCGAAAGGUGGGCUAAUACCGAAUAAUGCUGUGAGACCUCGGUUGAUCAGCCAAAGAGAGCCUCUGCUUGCAAGCCCUCGCUGAAGGAUGAGUCCGCGUACCAUUAGCUAGUUGGUAGGGUAAUGGCCUACCAAGGCGACGAUGGUUGGCUGGGCUGGGAGGAUGAUCAGCCACGAUGGAACUGAGAACCGGUACAGACUCCUACGGGAGGCAGCAGUGAGGAAUCUUGCGCAAUGGGGGCAACCCUGACGCAGCAACGCCGCGUGAGUGAGGAAGGUCUUCGGAUCGUAAAGCUCUGUCGGAUGGAAAGAACCGCAUAGGGGUAAACAGCCCCUGUGUCUGACGGUACCAUCAAAGGAAGCACCGGCUAACUCCGUGCCAGCAGCCGCCGUAAUAC
rnacentral:rRNA from 1 species